CCUACGGGAGGCUGCAGUGGGGAAUAUUAGAAAUGGACGAAAGUCUGAUCUAGCGACACCGCGUGUGCGAUGAAGGCCUUCGGGUUGUAAAGCACUUUUUGGAAGGAAUAGGAAGGAAGGUACUUCCAGAAUAAGUCUCGGCUAACUACGUGCCAGCAGCCGCGGUAACACGUAGGAGGCAAACGUUAUCCGGAUUUACUGGGCGUAAAGCGCGUGUAGGUGGUUCUGUAAGUAGGGCGUGAAAGCUCCCGGCUCAACUGGGAGAGGCCGUUCUAAACUGCAGAGCUAGAGGAUGGUAGAGGGAGGUGGAAUUCCAGGUGUAGCGGUGGAAUGCGCAGAUAUCUGGAGGAACACCAGUGGCGAAAGCGGCCUCCUGGACCAUUCCUGACACUCAGACGCGAAAGCUAGGGUAGCAAACGGGCUUAGAUACCCUGGUAGUC
rnacentral:rRNA from 1 species